GCUUAGCCGUAAACCAAGACGCCAAGCCACGACGGCGUCCGCCAGGAUACUACGAGCACUAGCUUGAAACCCAAAGGACCUGACGGUGUCUUAGAUCCCCCUAGAGGAGCCUGUUCUAGAACCGAUAACCCUCGUUAAACCUCACCACUUCUAGUCCUGUCCAGCCUAUAUACCGCCGUCGUCAGCUUACCCUGUGAAGGGAAAAAAGUAAGCGAGAUGGGCACAGCCCAAUACGUCAGGUCGAGGUGUAGCAUAUGAAGUGGGAAGAAAUGGGCUACAUUCUCUAUUUACAGAGCAUUACGAACACGCAACAUGAAAUAUGUGCCAGAAGGAGGAUUUAGAAGUAAAAAGGAAGCAGAGUGUCCUUUUGAACCCGGCUCUAAGAUGCGUACACACCGCCCGUCACCCUCUGCAGUCAAACACAC
rnacentral:rRNA from 1 species